rnacentral:rRNA from 1 species
CCUACGGGUGGCAGCAGUGAGGAAUAUUGCACAAUGGGCGGAAUCCUGAUCCAGCGAUGCCGCGUGAGUGAAGACGUCUCUCGGUAUUUUAAGCUCCUUCAGCAGGGAAGAAAAUGACGGUACCUGUCCAAGUAGCCACGGCUAAAUCCGUGCCAGCAUCCGCGGUAAUACGGAGGGCGCCCGCGUUAUCCGGAUUUACUGGGUGUAAAGGGGGCGUAGUCGGAUGGGUAAGUCCGGAGUGAAAGGCGGGGGCUCAACCCUGGGACUGCCCUGGAAACUGCCAGGCUGGAGUGCAGGAGAGGUAAGUGGAAUGCGUAGUGUAGCGGUGAAAUGCAUAGAUAUUAGGAGGAACACCAGUGGCGAAGGCAGCUUACUGGACCGUAACUGACGUUGAGGCACGAAAGCGUGGGGAGCGAACAGGAUUAGAUACCCCAGUAGUC